AACGAACGCUGGCGGCAGGCUUAACACAUGCAAGUCGAGCGCCCCGCAAGGGGAGCGGCAGACGGGUGAGUAACGCGUGGGAACGUACCCUUUGCUACGGAAUAGCUCCGGGAAACUGGAAUUAAUACCGUAUGUGCCCUACGGGGGAAAGAUUUAUCGGCAAAGGAUCGGCCCGCGUUGGAUUAGCUAGUUGGUGGGGUAAUGGCCUACCAAGGCGACGAUCCAUAGCUGGUCUGAGAGGAUGAUCAGCCACAUUGGGACUGAGACACGGCCCAAACUCCUACGGGAGGCAGCAGUGGGGAAUAUUGGACAAUGGGCGCAAGCCUGAUCCAGCCAUGCCGCGUGAGUGAUGAAGGCCUAGGGUUGUAAAGCUCUUUCGCUAGGGAAGAUAAUGACGGUACCUAGAGAAGAAGCCCCGGCUAACUUCGUGCCAGCAGCCGCCGUAACAC
rnacentral:rRNA from 1 species